rnacentral:lncRNA from 1 species
ACUUUGAGGAUGACUCCCAAGUUAUACUUCUAUCAGUUUCUUUUUGAGAUCUUGAAUCUUCUGUUCAAGACCUUCUUCCCAGCAUGGCUUCUCACUAUCUGGAAUAGACUCUCCCUCGAAGGAUUGAUCAGUUUGAGUGGGAUAGUGUUUCUUGCGGAACUACCUUUUGUUGCUACUCUGUAAUAUGUUGAAGCUAUUGUACCACAAGAGUAAGAGCCUGCACUUGCUGAACUAAAAGAUUGAAUUAUUAUGGAUCAACCAUAAUUAAAGGUUGAACAGCUUUUGACAUGCUUCUUAGACAAGAUGGCGAAGGUAGAGAAUUGUUUUGUGCUAUCCAAUUCAUCAUUUUUCAUCAAAUUUUUUGGCAAACCCUUCCUCUAGAACCAAUCUAUUACUACAAGACUUCGGAGGAAAAAAGAUGAGAUCGGUCAAGAAUCAAGCUAAAGUUUUGUGAGGGAUC